UUCGGCCUACGGGAGGCAGCAGUGGGGAAUAUUGCACAAUGGGGGAAACCCUGAUGCAGCAACGCCGCGUGAAGGAAGACGGUUUUCGGAUUGUAAACUUCUGUUCUUAGUGAAGGAGAAUGACGGUAGCUAAGGAGCAAGCCACGGCUAACUACGUGCCAGCAGCCGCGAUAAUACGUAGGUGGCAAGCGUUGUCCGGAAUUACUGGGUGUAAAGGGAGCGCAGGCGGGAAGCCAAGUAAGCUGUGAAAACUACGGGCUUAACUUGUAGACUGCAGUUGAAACUGGUUUUCUCGAGGGAA
rnacentral:rRNA from 1 species